rnacentral:misc_RNA from 1 species
CAGAGAACAUCGCCCUUACGGGGGUGACUCUCCAACCCUAUGUUAUAUAACCUUUGUUGCUUUGGCGAGCCGCUUCGGCCGCUGGCUUCGGCUAGCGAGUGCUCGCCAGAGGACCCCAAACUCUGAAUAUUAAUGUCGUCUGAAUACUAUAUAAUAGUUA